rnacentral:rRNA from 1 species
GAUCCUGGCUCAGGAUGAACGCUAGCUACAGGCUUAACACAUGCAAGUCGAGGGGCAGCAUGACCUAGCAAUAGGUUGAUGGCGACCGGCGCACGGGUGAGUAACACGUAUCCAACCUACCGGUUAUUCCGGGAUAGCCUUUCGAAGAAAGAUUAAUACCGGAUAGUAUAACGAGAAGGCAUCUUCUUGUUAUUAAAGAAAUUUCGUAUAACCGACUGGGGAGUGCGUUCCAUUAGUUUGUUGGCGGGGUAACGGGCCCACCCAA